rnacentral:rRNA from 1 species
GAUGAACGCUAGCUACAGGCUUAACACAUGCAAGUCGAGGGGCAGCAUGGUCUUAGCUUGCUAAGGCCGAUGGCGACCGGCGCACGGGUGAGUAACACGUAUCCAACCUGCCGUCUACUCUUGGACAGCCUUCUGAAAGGAAGAUUAAUACAAGAUGGCAUCAUGAGUCCGCAUGUUCACAUGAUUAAAGGUAUUCCGGUAGACGAUGGGGAUGCGUUCCAUUAGAUAGUAGGCGGGGUAACGGCCCACCUAGUCUUCGAUGGAUAGGGGUUCUGAGAGGAAGGUCCCCCACAUUGGAACUGAGACACGGUCCAAACUCCUACGGGAGGCAGCAGUGAGGAAUAUUGAUCAAUGGGCGAGAGCCUGAACCAGCCAAGUAGCGUGAAGGAUGACUGCCCUAUGGGUUGUAAACUUCUUUUAUAAAGGAAUAAAGUCGGGUAUGGAUACCCGUUUGCAUGUACUUUAUGAAUAAGGAUCGGCUAACUCCGUG